rnacentral:rRNA from 1 species
CACGUAGUUAGCCGUGGCCUUCUAAUGAGGUACCGUCAAGGUACAGACAGUUACUCCUGUACUUGUUCUUCCCUCAUAACAGAGCUUUACGAUCCGAAAACCUUCUUCGCUCACGCGGCAUUGCACCAUCAGACUUUCGUCCAUUGUGGAUGAUUCCCUACUGCUGCCUCCCGUAGGAGUCUGGGCCGUGUCUCAGUCCCAGUGUGGCCGAUCACCCUCUCAGGUCGGCUACGCAUCGUCGCCUUGGUAAGCCGUUACCUUACCAACUAGCUAAUGCGCCGCGGGCCCAUCCCGUAGCGACAGCCGAAGCCGUCUUUCAGAACUCUUUCAUGAGAAAAAGUUAUCAUUCGGUAUUAGCCCCGGUUUCCGGAGUUACUCCCCAACUACAGGGCAGGUUCGCCCACGUGUUACUCACCCAUUCGCCGCUAACAGAGUGAGGAGCAAGCUCCUCAUCUAUCCGCUCGACUUGCAUGUAUUAGGCUAGUCGCCGCCAGCCGUUCGUCCGUGUACCG